ACCUUCGAUGGCUGCUGGUGCGGCGGCC
rnacentral:sRNA from 1 species